UACGGAAGGCAGCAGUGGGGAAUAUUGCACAAUGGGCGCAAGCCUGAUGCAGCCAUGCCGCGUGUAUGAAGAAGGGCCUUCGGGUUGUAAAGUACUUUCAGUCGUGAGGAAGGUGUUAAGGUUAAUAACCUUAGCAAUUGACGUUAGCGACAGAAGAAGCACCGGCUAACUCCGUGCCAGCAGCCGCGGUAAUACGGAGGGUGCGAGCGUUAAUCGGAAUUACUGGGCGUAAAGGGCACGCAGGCGGUUAAUUAAGUUGGAUGUGAAUCCCCGGGCUUAACCUGGGAAUGGCAUUCAAGACUGGUUAGCUAGAGUCUUGUAGAGGGGGUAGAAUUCCAUGUGUAGCGGUGAAAUGCGUAGAGAUGUGGAGGAAUACCGGGUGGCGAAGGCGGCCCCUGGGACAAAGACUGACGCUCAUGUGCGAAAGCGUGGGGAGCAAACGAGGAUUAGAUACC
rnacentral:rRNA from 1 species